CAGAACUUCCAGGGACUAAGCCACUACCCAAAGACUUGGACUGACCGUGGGCUCAAACUGCAUAGGUAGCAAUGAAUAACCUAGUAAAGGCACCAGUGGAAGGGGAAGCCCUUGGUCCUGCCAAGGCUGGACCCGCAGUGAACGGGAUUCUUGGGUGGAGGGCGGUACCCUGGGGUAGGAUGGGGAGGAGAACACCCAUAUAUAAGGGGAGUUGGAGGGUUAAGGGGAUGUUGGCCCAGAAAGCGGACAAGGAUAUAACAUUAGAAAUGUAAAUAAGUAAUAUCCAAUUCAAUAAAGAUGGAAAAAUAUAAAAAAACAUAAAA
rnacentral:lncRNA from 1 species